rnacentral:SRP_RNA from 1 species
GCCGGGUGCGGUGGCGCGUGCCUGUAAUCCAAGCUACCGGGAGGCUGAGGUUGGAGGAUCGUUUGAGCUCAGGAGCUCUGAGCUACAGCGGACUAUGUCGAUCGGGUGUCCACACUAAGUUCGGCAUCGAUAUGGUGAUCCUGGGGGAGCCCGGGACCACCAGGUCGUCUAAAGAGGGGUACACCGGCCCAGGUCGGAGACGGAGCAGGUCAAAGCCCCCGUGUCGCUCAGUAGUGGGAUCGCGCCUGUGAAUAGACGCUGCAGUUCAGCCUGAGCAAUACAGCGAGACCCAAUCUUU